rnacentral:rRNA from 1 species
GCUUGUCUCAAAGAUUAAGCCAUGCAUGUCUAAGUAUAAACAACUUUGUACUGUGAAACUGCGAAUGGCUCAUUAAAUCAGUUAUAGUUUAUUUGAUAGUACCUUACUACUUGGAUAACCGUAGUAAUUCUAGAGCUAAUACAUGCGAAAAGACCCGACUUUUUGGAAGGGUUGCAUUUAUUAGAUACAAAACCAAUGGCCAGCAAUGGUCACCCUUGGUGAUUCAUAAUAACUUUUGCGGAUCGCAUGGCCUUGCGCCGGCGACGAAUCAUUCAAAUUUCUGCCCUAUCAACUUUCGAUGGUACGGUAUUGGCCUACCAUGGUUACAACGGGUAACGGGGAAUUAGGGUUCGGUUCCGGAGAGGGGGCCUGAGAAAUGGCCACCACAUCCAAGGAAGGCAGCAGG